rnacentral:misc_RNA from 1 species
AUUUUUAGGGAUUCCACUUAUAGUGGCUCUUCUCUCUUUUCUCUUUUACAAAAAUUUCCCUAUCAAAUCACUUAACUCUGCUCCACAAAAUUUUCCUACACUUUUCACUGUUGAAGAACUUGCUCUUUAUAAUGGGUCUGAUCCAAAAUUGCCCAUUUUUCUUGGAAUUAUUGGGUCUGUAUUUGAUGUGAGCAAAGGGAAGAGUCACUAUGGAGUUGGA